UUUCAGUUUUAGCAACUCUACUUUUUGUUGUAGUUAUUAUCUAUUUGCGGGUACAGCUUUCGCUUCAUAUACAUGAAAAAUUUCUAUAUAUACGGCGGGUCUGUUGGCGAGCCCGGAGAAUGUGGUAAUUUGGGGCGUGAUAUAAUUGCAGGGAUGUACAUAUCUGAAUACAUUAGGACUUUUACAGGUAUUACUUAUGAAAGUUGAUCUUUGCAGGAAUAUAUCUAUAAUUCACCAUGUUUGCGGGGACCUGAAUGAAAUUAACUCUAUUAAAAAUAUAUAAACCAUAAUUUACCUCAUAUAAAACCAACAAAAUU
rnacentral:lncRNA from 1 species